rnacentral:lncRNA from 1 species
CGUUUUGUGUACUAUUGUAUUGUAUUUGUCUAUUAUAUUCGGGUGCGUGCAGAGAUCGCCAAGCUAGAAAACGGUUGACAUUUUCUUCAUUAUGAACUAGAACUAUUUUCGACCUUGGUGCCUUAUUUUUGUUAAAAUCUAAACACUGCGACGUGUUUUCAAAAUCUUUGUUCCCAUAAAACUUCAUUUCAUCAAGGUCUCUUUUCAGAAUAUCAGCCAUCUGUCUGGCACAGGAUAACAAAUCAAUAUUUUAGUAAAUUUAAGUUGUGUGGUAAUUCUUAGUACAUUUGGGUAAAUUAAUCUUAUCUUUGUGCCGCAUAAGCAUCUCUAUAAUUCAACACAUUCCUGACCCACGACAUUAUAUAUUUUAUGCAUUUCAUGCGCUUCUUUUUAUCACAAUCCAAACCGGUUAGUAACCGUUGUACUUUACACGUCUGAAGACGAAUAUUUGCGUGAAACAUUUUUAUUUCUGGAAAUCAAUCUGAAAUCUACAACAGUCCUUUCCCGAAAGUCGGGCUGGACCUUUACUUUUAUGUGCAUUCGGGAUUUACACAAAUUGUAACCCGAAUAAUUCAGUCGUAUUAUUCAGCUAAUGUACGAAUGCUACAUUUCUCAUGUGGGAGAAAAUCGGACAUGGAAAGGGCUUGAAUUAUUCGAGUUACUCAAAUUGAAACUCUGGAAUAUAUUUCUAGCUGUACGGAAUUCGCGGAAACAAAUGAUUGUUUUUUCGGCAUUACGGUAUUGAAUCAAUAUGAGAGAUACCAAUUUUUUCUUUUAACAAAUUCGAAUACCAGUCAGUUUAUAGGACUUAAGUUUGAAAUAGGGGCGGUAAUCCAUUCAUUUUAUCCAAUCAUUUUUUUUUUGGUGGGGGGGGGGUCAACAUUGAUAGUCAAAAAGCCUUGAAAUAUUCGAUAAAAAACGUUGAAUGUAAAUUAUAUGAACUCCAAAGUCUCAUAUUAUAAGACUAAUCUAGUAAACCACAGGCUUCUCAAUUCUUGUAUGAUCAUGAACUAGGGGAAAACCUAGAGCUGACCGAGUGCGAAAUCCUCAUGGAUAAUCAUCGAGGUCGAUAAACACC